CAGAAACAGAUGAUGCUUGCAAGGAGCAACAGCAAAGUUAGGUUAUUUCAAAAUAUUUAUUUUUGAUUUUUUUACAAUGAUCAUUGAAAGAUGAGAUAUCUUUUCUUCAUGCAGUUCUAGUAAAAUAUUUUAAUAAUAAUAAACCAUUCGAGUCAUGGAUAAUAGAAUCAAUCUUCAGGAUUUGCCUGACAUUGUGUUGGAAAAAAUAUUCUCAUAUUUGACUUACAAUCAAAUAGCUGAAAAUAGAAUUAUAAGUAGAAAGUUCAAUGAAUUCGGAAAAGAAGCUUUAAAUCGUGGUUAUAACAUGGUAGAGAAGUUUCACAGGAAAUCUUUGAAAGCUGUAAGAUCAAAACUUCCACGACGUGAAUCCGAAAGAAAAAUUCAUCCUUUGGCCAGACAAUGUGACAUUUUGGUUGCCAUUGAGACAAGACUAUCUAUGCUGUCCAUGACGUUUCUGAAAUACAUAGAAUGUAAACAGUGUUGCUUUAUACCUGGCAAGGUAAUUGAUGAGUUGCUGAGAGUAAUAAAAUAUGUGAACAAGAGCAUUCAUCCGCCGCGACCUCAUGACCUCCUACAGGAGCUGAGGGAUAUCACCUCCAUGGCCAUGGAACACUUUGAGGAGAGAAUUGUGCCAAUUCUAAAAGAGAAGAUGAAUGCUUAUAAACCUUCCAUAACAUCUUCCUUCUUAGAUCGUUUAAAUAAAGUGAAGAGAACGAUAGCUAUUUCUAUUGAUAUUCUCAAAGCCCAUGAGACGGUAUCUCACAAUUCACUUUCGUAUACAUUAGAGAGAGCUCGAACGUCGUUGAAAUUGAUAGAUAGACACCUUUUACGUAGGUCACAUAAUAUCACUACUAAUGAAUCUAUUAGUGAAAUCAAUGACUCCGAUACUGGCUAUGGCCGUCCUCAAGGAAAUCAUCUGAGAGUGGCAUGCAACAUGCCUUCCACUUCGAUCACGUGCAACGACUUGUGCAGUGCCCUCAAGAGAAACCAGGCCAGCUCCAAGGUCAACCGCAGGCUCAUCAAUCUUCUACUAGUCGAAGCAAAACGAAGCAGAAAGAAGGAAGUGGCGAACAAGAAGCAAUUGAAACUGACUCUGGAGGUAGUACACAAACAAAAGCGCGAGAUAAUACGAUUAAAGCGAGUAAUUCAAAAUUGGGAAGCAAAAUUUCGAGAUCUAUCGGCCGAAGUGAGGACUAUCAGCACUCAUCCGUUCAAAAGACAAGCUGUUUCGCCUUGAUUCCGGCAACAACCCAUGUCAGUGGAACCAGGGCAGAAUGAGCAGUAACUCUGCAUUGUGACAGUUUAGAAAAUGAGAACAUGUGUGUGUUCGUUGACACGUUUGAUGAUAAUGAUGAUGAUAACAUGGCAUCACCAAGAAAAGCGAAAAAACCAAGAAAGUGAAUAAUAUUGGAAACUUGCAGUCGAGGAGUUGAUGUAGUUGAAUUAUCAAAAAUGAAUCUGUAUCCUCCAUCAGUCAACUUUCCCCUAAGAGCUUCCGAUUAUGCAAAAUGGAACGUAUUUCAUAUAUUCUCCAUAAUUUAGUAUAAUUAUCUUUUAAGCUUGUGACUGAUUCAAAAAUUAACAAAAGAUUUGUUCAACGAUGUUUACUAUACUGAACUGAUAUUAUAAUGAUAAGUUUAUAAUGUUUUUAUGAGAGCAGUUUGAAAAGUUUCAGAGCUGACCAUGAAGAUGAAAAAUCUUGUUAACACGAGAUAGUGUAACUUUUGGUCAUAUUUCAAUAGUUUCUCACACAUUUGGUUGCGUUUUUUCAUAAUAUGUUACCAUCGUUGACGGGUGUUGCGUGCCAUGUCUGCAAAGGUCAGGGCAAUAAUUGUUCAAUUUCAACUCUGUUAGCGCAGUUUAGGCGCAAAUAAUCUGAAUUUUGUCAUCAAUAUUAGUAACAUUUUAUGAUAUUUGGAUACAUUUAUGUCCAUCCAGAACUGAAAAAUCAGUUGUCUGUUUGGGCUCCAAAAAUAAAAAAAACUGACUGAAAACUGGUCUCAUGGCAACUGGUUUUGGUAUAGUCAUGAAGUUAUUUCAAACAGUUAUCUCCAAAAACUUACACACGAUUAUACUAUGCAUUAUUACUUGUCGAUCUAAAAGCAGCAAUUGUGGAAGAAACUAUCAAAUUUGCCAACGCAAUACAUCGUCCCACAACUUUUCAAGACGGUAAUCACGACAAAAGUACAGAAAUUACGGUAUAGCCUGUUCAACUAUUGAUUUUACUUUCCAUAUCUGGUCACAAGUAUAAUAUUGUCACCUCUUCCAGAAAUGACACACUAAGAACAGAGGUGUCGUGAGCAGACAUGACACACAGACCGACAUUGACGUACUCAACAACCAUAAAAUAAAUACUGUGCGUUCAAAAUGGCUGAAAUUUUAGUUAGACUAGUAAAACAUGACUGCAAGAUACUCCAGCUCUUGUUUAAGAGAGUUGUCAUCUCCAUGACCAUGUCGGAAACUUUUCAAACUGUCCUCAUAAAAUAGUGUAUAGGCAAGUACUGUAAGUUCUUCUACUUGAAUAUUGAUUAACAUCAAAUUAAUUUGAUAUUUAUAAAUACAUUUCAGAGUUGAUUCCCCAGUUUUAUAAAAGCCUGUUAAAUUUUAAUCGUUAAUAACUUUCACGAGAACCAAUCAGGGAAGGCUUUUUGGAAAAGAAGGCUUUCCUGAUUGGUAAUUAUUCAUGAUUAAAAAAUAACAGGCUUUUGUGCAAUCGGGCCGAUAUAUUUUAAUGUACAGUAUUUACUAAAAAAUUGUGUUAGUUCAAUCUUCUCAAUUCAAGCCUUACGCUUACCACUGCAAAUGGCAUGGUGGCGACGGGAGCUGGAAAAUCACCGCCAUCGCAGUCAUGCCCAAAGCUUUAGUAUUAUACUCAAGUGUGUGUUAUUUUGUUAUUUCCUUUUAAAAAUUUUACUUUGUGAUUAAUUUGUACAUAAAAUAGUUUGUUCAUAUAGAAGUAAUUAAUUUAAUUCAUCGCAAUAAGAGUGAUAGUAGUUGGAUUCUUGACUAAGGGUUAGAUGAAAAAUAGUUAAUGAAUAAUAUUCAAUUAAUUUAAUAAAA